CCUCACUACAUUAUGGGCCAUUACAGACAGGAACUAUGUCAUAUCCAAUUCUGUAAUCCCAAGAUCUAACACAACACAUAGCAUAUAAUAGAAACUAAUAAACUGCUACUUAUAUUUGGUAAUUGCAGUUGGCUCCUCCUGUAUGUGAAUAGAUUUUAUCAAGUAAAUCAAACAUAAAAUGAAGAGUGUUCAUUCUUAACCUAUUAAAUUUUCUCCUUCUUUAAACUUACGUAGGUUACUUGGCUAUGAUAAUGAGCUGUUGUUUUUCUACUUAAAAUUUAAAAUUCUUCCAUUGUUUUGCCAUCUUUGGGUUUGUCUGGGUCCCUUUCCAAAAUUUAAUUUGCUUUGCUAUUAAAAAAAAAUAAAAACAGAACUAUGAAUCCUGAAUACUGUCUCCUGGAAUUUGACCUGCAUCACUAUAAAUUUUAAAAAUUGUAACACACACAUACACACAUAUGCCAAGGCAACUUAAGGAAAAACCCAAAGAAAAGAGAUAAAACAACUCUCUUUAGUGAC
rnacentral:lncRNA from 10 species